CUAAAUGGAGCGGAUCAAGCAAAGGGGAAAUCUCUUCUUUUGCCUUACCAUGUGAUUAUAAGGUUUUUAAAACCCGAACGGGGCAAGCUUUAAUGAUUAAACUCGAACGUGUUCAGCUCGAACUUUAUAUUUAUCCCUAAUUGUAACAUCAAUUGAGUUGUAGUAUUUUCAUUAAAAACCAUAGAACACCUCAUGAUAGAACUACAUCAAUUGGGUUGGAGACAUGAAACUAUAUCUUGAAAAAUAUUAUUUCACAUUUUCUUAAAG
rnacentral:lncRNA from 1 species